rnacentral:ncRNA from 1 species
UUAAUUGGAUGGAGCCUUGGUAUGGAAACCUACCAAGUGAUAACUUUCAAAUUCAGAGAAACCCUGGAAUUACAAACGGGCAAUCCUGAGCCAAAUCCUGUGUUCUGAAAACAAACAAGGAUUCAGAAAGUGAUAAUAAAAAAGGAUAGGUGCAGAGACUCAAUGGAAGCUGUUCUAACAAAUGGAGUUGGCUGCGAAGCGUUAGUAAAGGAAUCCUUCCAUCGAAACUCCAGAAAGGAUGAAGAAUAAACCUAUAUAUACGUAUACGUACUGAAAUACUAUCUCCAAACCAAAUGAUUAAUGACGACCCGAAUCUUUUUUUUUAUAUUUAUAUGUUUAUAUGAAAAAUGAAAGAAUUGUUGUGAAUCGAUUCCAAGUAAAAAAAAAAUGGAAUAUUCAUUGAUCAAAUCAUUUACUCCAUCGUAAUCUGAUAGAUCUUUUGAAAAAUUGAUUAAUCGGACGAGAAUAAAGAUAGAGUCCCAUUCUACAUGUCAAUAUCGACAACAAUGAAAUUUAUAGUAAGAGGAAAAUCCGUCGACUUUAGAGAUCGUGAGGGUUCAAGUCCCUCUAUCCCCA